GCAUAUCAAUAAGCGGAGGAAAAGAAACCAACAGGGAUUGCCCUAGUAACGGCGAGUGAAGCGGCAACUAGCUCAAAUUUGAAAUCUGGCCUCCUUGGGUGGUCCGAGUUGUAAUUUGCAGAGGGUGCUUUGGCGUCGGCAGCGGUCUAAGUUCCUUGGAACAGGACAUCACAGAGGGUGAGAAUCCCGUACGUGGUCGCCCGCCUUCGCCGUGUAAAGCCCCUUCGACGAGUCGAGUUGUUUGGGAAUGCAGCUCUAAAUGGGAGGUAAAUUUCUUCUAAAGCUAAAUACUGGCCAGAGACCGAUAGCGAACAAGUAGAGUGAUCGAAAGAUGAAAAGCACUUUGGAAAGAGAGUCAAACAGCACGUGAAAUUGUUGAAAGGGAAGCGCUUGCAGCCAGACUUGCCCGCAGUUGCUCAUCGGAACUCUUGCUCCGAGCACUCUUCUGCGGGCAGGCCAGCAUCAGUUUGGGCGACCGGAUAAAGGCCUCUGUCAUGUAUCUUCCUUCGGGAUGACCUUAUAGGGGAGGCGUAAUGCGGCCAGCCCGGACUGAGGUCCGCGCAUCUGCUAGGAUGCUGGCGUAAUGGCUGUAAGCGGCCCGUCUUGAAACACGGACC
rnacentral:rRNA from 2 species